GACAGAGGGUGCAAACGUUGUUCGGAAUUACUGGGCGUAAAGCGUGUGUAGGCGGCCGUGCAAGUCGGAUGUGAAAUCCCCGGGCUCAACCCGGGAAGUGCACCCGAAACUGCAGGGCUCGAGUACCGGAGAGGUUGGUGGAAUUCUCGGUGUAGAGGUGAAAUUCGUAGAUAUCGAGAGGAACACCGGUGGCGAAGGCGGCCAACUGGACGAGUACUGACGCUGAGACACGAAAGCGUGGGGAGCAACAGG
rnacentral:rRNA from 1 species